AUACGUAGGGGGCGAGCGUUGUCCGGAAUUACUGGGCGUAAAGGGCGCGUAGGCGGCCCAAAAAGUCAGAUGUGAAAAACCUGGGCUUAACCGAGGUCUUGCAUUUGAAACUGUUGGGCUUGAGGGCAGGAGAGGAAAGCGGAAUUCCCAGUGUAGCGGUGAAAUGCGUAGAUAUUGGGAGGAACACCAGUGGCGAAGGCGGCUUUCUGGACUGCACCUGACGCUGAGGCGCGAAAGCCAGGGGAGCGAACGGGAUUAGAUACCCCGGUAGUCCUGGCCGUAAACGAUGGAUACUAGGUGUGGGAGGUAUCGACCCCUUCCGUGCCGCAGCCAACGCACUAAGUAUCCCGCCUGGGGAGUACGGCCGCAAGGCUGAA
rnacentral:rRNA from 1 species